rnacentral:rRNA from 1 species
GAUGAACGCUGGCGGCGUGCCUAAUACAUGCAAGUCGAGCGAACAGACGAGGAGCUUGCUCCUCUGACGUUAGCGGCGGACGGGUGAGUAACACGUGGAUAACCUACCUAUAAGACUGGGAUAACUUCGGGAAACCGGAGCUAAUACCGGAUAAUAUAUUGAACCGCAUGGUUCAAUAGUGAAAGACGGUUUUGCUGUCACUUAUAGAUGGAUCCGCGCCGCAUUAGCUAGUUGGUAAGGUAACGGCUUACCAAGGCAACGAUGCGUAGCCGACCUGAGAGGGUGAUCGGCCACACUGGAUCUGAGACACGGUCCAGACUCCUACGGGAGGCAGCAGUAGGGAAUCUUCCGCAAAGGGCGAAAGCUUGACGGAGCAACGCCGCGUGAGUGAUGAAGGUCUUCGGAUCGUAAAACUCUGUUAUUAGGGAAGAACAAAUGUGUAAGUAACUAUGCACGUCUUGACGGUACCUAAUCAGAAAGCCACGGCUAACUACGUG